rnacentral:rRNA from 1 species
UUAAGUUAUUAAGGGCGCACGGUGGAUGCCUUGGCACUAGAAGCCGAUGAAGGACGUUACUAACGACGAUAUGCUUUGGGGAGCUGUAAGUAAGCUUUGAUCCAGAGAUUUCCGAAUGGGGAAACCCAGCAUGAGUUAUGUCAUGUUAUCGAUAUGUGAAUACAUAGCAUAUCAGAAGGCACACCCGGAGAACUGAAACAUCUUAGUACCCGGAGGAAGAGAAAGAAAAUUCGAUUCCCUUAGUAGCGGCGAGCGAAACGGGAAGAGCCCAAACCAACAAGCUUGCUUGUUGGGGUUGUAGGACACUCUAUACGGAGUUACAAAGGACGACAUUAGACGAAUCAUCUGGAAAGAUGAAUCAAAGAAGGUAAUAAUCCUGUAGUCGAAAAUGUUGUCUCUCUUGAGUGGAUCCUGAGUACGACGGAGCACGUGAAAUUCCGUCGGAAUCUGGGAGGACCAUCUCCUAAGGCUAAAUACUCUCUAGUGACCGAUAGUGAACCAGUACCGUGAGGGAAAGGUGAAAAGCACCCCGGAAGGGGAGUGAAAUAGAACCUGAAACCGUGUGCUUACAAGUAGUCAGAGCCCGUUAAUGGGUGAUGGCGUGCCUUUUGUAGAAUGAACCGGCGAGUUACGAUUUGAUGCAAGGUUAAGCAGUAAAUGUGGAGCCGUAGCGAAAGCGAGUCUGAAUAGGGCGUUUAGUAUUUGGUCGUAGACCCGAAACCAGGUGAUCUACCCUUGGUCAGGUUGAAGUUCAGGUAACACUGAAUGGAGGACCGAACCGACUUACGUUGAAAAGUGAGCGGAUGAACUGAGGGUAGCGGAGAAAUUCCAAUCGAACCUGGAGAUAGCUGGUUCUCUCCGAAAUAGCUUUAGGGCUAGCCUCAAGUGAUGAUUAUUGGAGGUAGAGCACUGUUUGGACGAGGGGCCCCUCUCGGGUUACCGAAUUCAGACAAACUCCGAAUGCCAAUUAAUUUAACUUGGGAGUCAGAACAUGGGUGAUAAGGUCCGUGUUCGAAAGGGAAACAGCCCAGACCACCAGCUAAGGUCCCAAAAUAUAUGUUAAGUGGAAAAGGAUGUGGCGUUGCCCAGACAACUAGGAUGUUGGCUUAGAAGCAGCCAUCAUUUAAAGAGUGCGUAAUAGCUCACUAGUCGAGUGACACUGCGCCGAAAAUGUACCGGGGCUAAACAUAUUACCGAAGCUGUGGAUUGUCCUUUGGACAAUGGUAGGAGAGCGUUCUAAGGGCGUUGAAGCAUGAUCGUAAGGACAUGUGGAGCGCUUAGAAGUGAGAAUGCCGGUGUGAGUAGCGAAAGACGGGUGAGAAUCCCGUCCACCGAUUGACUAAGGUUUCCAGAGGAAGGCUCGUCCGCUCUGGGUUAGUCGGGUCCUAAGCUGAGGCCGACAGGCGUAGGCGAUGGAUAACAGGUUGAUAUUCCUGUACCACCUAUAAUCGUUUUAAUCGAUGGGGGGACGCAGUAGGAUAGGCGAAGCGUGCGAUUGGAUUGCACGUCUAAGCAGUAAGGCUGAGUAUUAGGCAAAUCCGGUACUCGUUAAGGCUGAGCUGUGAUGGGGAGAAGACAUUGNGUCUUCGAGUCGUUGAUUUCACACUGCCGAGAAAAGCCUCUAGAUAGAAAAUAGGUGCCCGUACCGCAAACCGACACAGGUAGUCAAGAUGAGAAUUCUAAGGUGAGCGAGCGAACUCUCGUUAAGGAACUCGGCAAAAUGACCCCGUAACUUCGGGAGAAGGGGUGCUCUUUAGGGUUAACGCCCAGAAGAGCCGCAGUGAAUAGGCCCAAGCGACUGUUUAUCAAAAACACAGGUCUCUGCUAAACCGUAAGGUGAUGUAUAGGGGCUGACGCCUGCCCGGUGCUGGAAGGUUAAGAGGAGUGGUUAGCUUCUGCGAAGCUACGAAUCGAAGCCCCAGUAAACGGCGGCCGUAACUAUAACGGUCCUAAGGUAGCGAAAUUCCUUGUCGGGUAAGUUCCGACCCGCACGAAAGGCGUAACGAUUUGGGCACUGUCUCAACGAGAGACUCGGUGAAAUCAUAGUACCUGUGAAGAUGCAGGUUACCCGCGACAGGACGGAAAGACCCCGUGGAGCUUUACUGUAGCCUGAUAUUGAAAUUCGGCACAGCUUGUACAGGAUAGGUAGGAGCCUUUGAAACGUGAGCGCUAGCUUACGUGGAGGCGCUGGUGGGAUACUACCCUAGCUGUGUUGGCUUUCUAACCCGCACCACUUAUCGUGGUGGGAGACAGUGUCANGCGGGCAGUUUGACUGGGGCGGUCGCCUCCUAAAAGGUAACGGAGGCGCUCAAAGGUUCCCUCAGAAUGGUUGGAAAUCAUUCAUAGAGUGUAAAGGCAUAAGGGAGCUUGACUGCGAGACCUACAAGUCGAGCAGGGUCGAAAGACGGACUUAGUGAUCCGGUGGUUCCGCAUGGAAGGGCCAUCGCUCAACGGAUAAAAGCUACCCCGGGGAUAACAGGCUUAUCUCCCCCAAGAGUUCACAUCGACGGGGAGGUUUGGCACCUCGAUGUCGGCUCAUCGCAUCCUGGGGCUGUAGUCGGUCCCAAGGGUUGGGCUGUUCGCCCAUUAAAGCGGUACGCGAGCUGGGUUCAGAACGUCGUGAGACAGUUCGGUCCCUAUCCGUCGUGGGCGUAGGAAAUUUGAGAGGAGCUGUCCUUAGUACGAGAGGACCGGGAUGGACAUACCUCUGGUGUACCAGUUGUCGUGCCAACGGCAUAGCUGGGUAGCUAUGUGUGGACGGGAUAAGUGCUGAAAGCAUCUAAGCAUGAAGCCCCCCUCAAGAUGAGAUUUCCCAACUUCGGUUAUAAGAUCCCUCAAAGAUGAUGAGGUUAAUAGGUUCGAGGUGGAAGCAUGGUGACAUGUGGAGCUGACGAAUACUAAUCGAUCGAAGACUUAAUCAA